CAAAUCAGGUAGGAUUAACCGCUGAACUUAAGCAUAUCAAUAAGCGGAGGAAAAGAAACUAACAAGGAUUCCCCUAGUAACUGCGAGUGAAGCGGGAAAAGCUCAAAUUUGUAAUCUGGCGGUCUUGGGCCGUCCGAAUUGUAAACUAGAGAAGCGUUAUCCGCGCUGGACCGUGUACAAGUCCCCUGGAAUGGGGCGUCAUAGAGGGUGAGAAUCCCGUCUUUGACACGGACUACCAGGGCUUUGUGAUGCGCUCUCAAAGAGUCGAGUUGUUUGGGAAUGCAGCUCAAAAUGGGUGGUAAAUUCCAUCUAAAGCUAAAUAUUGGCGAGAGACCGAUAGCGAACAAGUACCGUGAGGGAAAGAUGAAAAGAACUUUGGAAAGAGAGUUAAACAGUACGUGAAAUUGCUGAAAGGGAAACGCUUGAAGUCAGUCGCGUUGGCAGGGGAUCAGCCUUACUUUUGUGGGGUGUACUUCCUUGUUGACGGGUCAGCAUCAGUUUUGGUUGCUGGAUAAAGGUUAGGGGAAUGUGGCACCCUCGGGUGUGUUAUAGCCCCUGGCUGGAUACAGUGGCUGGGACUGAGGAACUCAGCACGCGCAAGCUGUGCUUAGGAUGC
rnacentral:rRNA from 1 species